UAGUAUAAAAACGAUGGAUGAUGGAACAGCUCCUCAGCAGUGAAGCCAAAGCAAGUAGAACUCCCCUAGUGACUGGCUGCAGCAUAGGCAGGCGGCAACAUCCGGGGCUGGGCGAUGAAGCCCAUGCGAAGUGCAAAACAUUGCAGUUCAUCGAGUGGCCGCUUGAGGCUGGUUGCAAAAGGGAGAAAAUCCCACAGACCCACAUGUUAAAAAGCCCAACUUUACAGCAUUAUUAGAUAUGUUUACAGUCUAGUUCCAAAAACUUUUUUUUUUCUUUUCUUCUCAAUGGUUUAUUUCACUAUUCAUAACAACUGUACGGGGGUGAUUUCCCCCCCAACUCGUUCGUUUAAGUUUUAUUAAGGAUUGAAAUUCUGUAUAAUUACCACUCUGAGUGACCGGCGGUAGCCUGAGCUAAGAGUUGGGGGGGUUGUCCAUAGUACUGUCAAUGAGCAUAGGUCAUACGCUCCACUUCCUCCAUCCGAUGGGACUAAGGUCAAACACUAAAAUACAUGCCAUUUUUUUUCAAUGACGGUUUCUGUCAUUUAAGAUAUAAUACUGUUGCACACUCAACUGUCCAUCUUUUCUGAUAAGUUUAAAAAAUUAGUGCGUCUGGCGAAAGUGUAGGCGGGUGAUCGAGCCCGCGCCUUCAGGUGUCUUCACUCUCGAUUGUACUGCGCAGACUCUGUCUGCAAACUCGCAAGAUGGCGCGGCCCGUAUCUGAGUCGUACCAGGAAAUUGGUGUUAGAAGGGAGCGUUGUCCUCUCACGCUAUCAAGGAACGAAGAUGUCGUUUUAACCUGCCCAGUCAUCCGUCUUUUACAACUGUCGUCAUUCCCCCCCGUCCCUUUGUCUCCUCCCACUUUCCUUAUAAGGAAGACGCCAACUAUCGAGUGACUAGCUUGAACAUGGGGUAGGUGUACGGACGGUGUUUGAAUAUCGUAGGCUAAUUACUUUAAUCACCCGUCUCACAGUACUUACAGUGUUAGCUAAAUGCCUUCAAUGUGUGGGUAGCUUUCUUCAUCCUCAACCAAUCCAACAUCAUCGAUCUAUUAAUCCUCUGUCUUUAAAUGUCAUGUUUAAUGUGUUUUGUUGUAAGAGACCACCAGUAGUCUACUGGAGUGUAGUUGACUCGAACAUUGGCGGAUAAGACUGCUUUUGGGGUUAGCCUGUUAGGAUUUAUUUCGUGGGCCUUUGAGCUGUAUUAAACUUCUAGACUGGAUGGAUCUGAGAAUGAAUCCCAGCGACUGGAGCUGAACAACAUAGUGAGAGGAGGCCAGCUGCAAUCUGCAAGAAAUGGCAUAACUGAAGAACUCAAAAGUAGAUUUGUUCAGAAAGAAAUGCACUCCCAUGUCAGAAAGCAUGACAUAAAGUAUUGAGCCCCAUCUGCAACGAGAGCAACUGAGACUUUGUUAUGAUACUGGAAACUCGUUUACAGGGCCCAAGGGAGUACUGCAUUUAUUUUGUGUUACUACAGAAUGAUUCAGACAUGUCUGAAGGUAGAGAACAGUAAUGAACAUUGUCUGGCUCUAUAUACAGCGGGUAAAAUAAAUAUUGAACAUAUCACAA